rnacentral:rRNA from 1 species
CCUACGGGAGGCAGCAGUGAGGAAUAUUUGUCAAUGGACGAGAGUCUGAACCAGCCAAGUCGCGUGAAGGAUGACUGCCCUAUGGGUUGUAAACUUCUUUUAUAUGGGAAUAAAACGUUCCACGUGUGGGAUUUUGUAUGUACCAUACGAAUAAGGAUCGGCUAACUCCGUGCCAGCAGCCGCGGUAAUACGGAGGAUCCGAGCGUUAGCCGGAUUUAUUGGGUUUAAAGGGAGCGUAGGUGGAUUGUUAAGUCAGUUGUGAAAGUUUGCGGCUCAACCGUAAAAUUGCAGGUGAAACUGGCAGUCUUGAGUACAGUAGAGGUGGGCGGAAUUCGUGGUGUAGCGGUGAAAUGCUUAGAUAUCACGAAGAACUCCGGUUGCGAAGGCAGUUCACUGGACUGCAACUGACACUGAGGCUCGAAAGUGUGGGUAUCAAACAGGAUUAGAUACCCCAGUAGUC